rnacentral:rRNA from 1 species
CGGGGGGGCGUGCUAUUAAUGCAGUCGAGCGGACAGAUGGGAGCUUGCUCCCUGAUGUUAGCGGCGGACGGGUGAGUAACACGUGGGUAACCUGCCUGUAAGACUGGGAUAACUCCGGGAAACCGGGGCUAAUACCGGAUGGUUGUCUGAACCGCAUGGUUCAGACAUAAAAGGUGGCUUCGGCUACCACUUACAGAUGGACCCGCGGCGCAUUAGCUAGUUGGUGAGGUAACGGCUCACCAAGGCGACGAUGCGUAGCCGACCUGAGAGGGUGAUCGGCCACACUGGGACUGAGACACGGCCCAGACUCCUACGGGAGGCAGCAGUAGGGAAUCUUCCGCAAUGGACGAAAGUCUGACGGAGCAACGCCGCGUGAGUGAUGAAGGUUUUCGGAUCGUAAAGCUCUGUUGUUAGGGAAGAACAAGUGCCGUUCAAAUAGGGCGGCACCUUGACGGUACCUAACCAGAAAGCCACGGCUAACUACGUGCCAGCAGCCGCGGUAAUACGUAGGUGGCAAGCGUUGUCCGGAAUUAUUGGGCGUAAAGGGCUCGCAGGCGGUUUCUUAAGUCUGAUGUGAAAGCCCCCGGCUCAACCGGGGAGGGUCAUUGGAAACUGGGGAACUUGAGUGCAGAAGAGGAGAGUGGAAUUCCACGUGUAGCGGUGAAAUGCGUAGAGAUGUGGAGGAACACCAGUGGCGAAGGCGACUCUCUGGUCUGUAACUGACGCUGAGGAGCGAAAGCGUGGGGAGCGAACAGGAUUAGAUACCCUGGUAGUCCACGCCGUAAACGAUGAGUGCUAAGUGUUAGGGGGUUUCCGCCCCUUAGUGCUGCAGCUAACGCAUUAAGCACUCCGCCUGGGGAGUACGGGUCGCAAGACUGAAACUCAAGGAAAUUGACGGGGGGCCCCGCACAAGCGGUGGAGCAUGUGGUUUUAUUUCGAAAGCAACGCGAACAACCUUUACCAAGGUCGUGACAUCCGUCUGACAAUCCUAACAGAUAGGACGUCCCCUUCGGCGGGCAGGAGGUGACAGGCUGGUGGCAGGGCUGGUGUCAUCUCUCUCGUGAGAAUGGUAGGGUUAAGUCCCAGCAAACCAGCCGCAAACCCCUUGAAUGCUUAGGUUGAU